GACGAACGCUGGCGGUGUGCUUAACACAUGCAAGUCGAACGGUAAGGCCCUUUCGGGGGUACACGAGUGGCGAACGGGUGAGUAACACGUGAGUAACCUGCCCUCAUCUCUGGGAUAACAGUCGGAAACGGUUGCUAAUACUGGAUAUAAGCCUGCAAGGCAUCUUGUGGGUUGGAAAGAUUUUUUGGUUGGGGAUGGACUCGCGGCCUAUCAGCUUGUUGGUGAGGUAGUGGCUCACCAAGGCUUCGACGGGUAGCCGGCCUGAGAGGGCGACCGGCCACAUUGGGACUGAGAUACGGCCCAAACUCCUACGGGAGGCAGCAGUGGGGAAUAUUGCACAAUGGACGGAAGUCUGAUGCAGCAACGCCGCGUGCGGGAUGACGGCCUUCGGGUUGUAAACCGCUUUCAAUUGUGACGAAGCUUUUUGUGACGGUAGCAGUAGAAGAAGCACCGGCUAACUACGUG
rnacentral:rRNA from 1 species